CAGUGACAGACAGGUCUUUCCCUUUCAUACUUGUGUCUAUUGUGCUUGCUGCAAGAAAACAAAUUUCCAGGCUUUUCAAAACCUUAAGAGAAAUUCCACCAAGAAUCCAGCUUGAAAUCUCAGCUUUGAUCACAAUUCAUGUCAUGUUAUAUACGGAGAAAGUUCAUUUCUUCCCAUAAAAAUACCAACUUUUUGGCUAUGGCUUGGUUUCCGAAAUUCUCUGCUGUUCAGCCUUCAUCAGCGGCCCUGAAGAUCUCUUCUUUUCUGGGUUUUAUUGCAAUUUGCAAGAAGGGUUUUGGAUAUCAAUGUGGUUGUCUUAAGCCCAGUUCAGUAUUUUGUUGCCUUGGAUGGAACAACCAGUUUCAGUACUAGCAGUAGCACUAAUAAGAAGCUAACAAUGGGGCUGAUGGGAAUUCAGCUGGAGCGCAAUAAAGGAGUAAAGUUAUGGGCUUUAGGGGAUUUCAACCGGGUUUGGAUCUGCCCAAUUGGCCCCCUGCCUGGCCAGGCUUGGUUUCGCUCUGUUCAGCAAGAUAAUCAGUGGGAGGCGAAAAUGCUUCUUGCGGACAGGACAAAAGAAAGAAGAAGAAAGAUGAAGAAGAAGAAAAGGAAGGAUAUAACUAUGUGUUGCUCAUCAAAAAUAAAGAAUGCAUUUGCCAGAUCUACAGCUACAGAGUGGACAAAAAAGAAGCAUUACCACCUGUUGGCACAUUGAAGUGCUCCCAAAUCUACAGCCAGUAUCAUGAAGCUUGCGUGGAAGAACGUGGUAGAAAAAUAGACUUGGCUUCUGGUAGCUAGUAUUCUUGUUACACGUGUCAAGAGGUCUAUCUAGGUCUUCAAGGACAAAGUGGCCUCAUGAACCUGCUUCAUGAUGGAGCCUGAGGCAAGACGAGGCCGACCCAAAG